CCUCAUGAUGUCAGCCUUAUCAAUACUGAAUUGCAGGGGGAAAAAGUUCAAGCAGAAUUCUGAUGGAAUGAAGUGGAACAUCCAUAGAGAGUUAUAAGGACAAACUCAACAAACAGCAUUCAAAUCUUCAAAAUCUGUUGUCUGCAUUAAGCUCAAGACUUAAAAAUAAUGCACCUUGUCCCAGCAGGGAGAUCCAGAAUUCCUUAUUUAGACUUACAGGCUCCCUUUUACUGUUUAUGGAGAUACCUCUGAAGCAAUAUCUAGAAUGUUCAUAUGCGGAGAAGACCCAAAGGAAAGAAAGAAUAGCUGUUUCAGUUCAUUACCUUAAGUUACACCUGUUUCCAC